rnacentral:rRNA from 1 species
CGGGACGGGUGAGUAACGCGUGGGUAACCUGCCUCAUACAGGGGGAUAACAGUUAGAAAUGGCUGCUAAUACCGCAUAAGCGCACAGGACCGCAUGGUCUGGUGUGAAAAACUCCGGUGGUAUGAGAUGGACCCGCGUCUGAUUAGCUAGUUGGAGGGGUAACGGCCCACCAAGGCAACGAUCAGUAGCCGGCCUGAGAGGGUGAACGGCCACAUUGGGACUGAGACACGGCCCAG